ACGGGUGAGUAACGCGUAAAGAACUUGCCCUUUAGACUGGGAUAACAGAGGGAAACUUCUGAUAAUACUGGAUAAGUUAGUAUAUCGCAUGAUAUGCAAAUGAAAGCUACGGCACUAAAGGAGAGCUUUGCGUCCUAUUAGCUAGUUGGUAAGGUAAGAGCUUACCAAGGCGAUGAUAGGUAGCCGGCCUGAGAGGGUGGACGGCCACAAGGGGACUGAGAUACGGCCCUUACUCCUACGGGAGGCAGCAGAA
rnacentral:rRNA from 1 species